GAGCGAGAGAGAGAGAGAGAGUGAGUGUUGACAAUGGCCGUUCGUGACUGGCAGUGUUUACAGUUACAUUUUCCUUAAUUAUUCCUCGCCCACACCUGCCCGCGAUAUCUGCCACACCUGCACACGUCGAGCAACCCUCCGCGCACACGCACACGCACGCAAACCCCAGGAAAUAAGGCGGAGAGCGAGGAAAAGUGGAGAAAUGUGCCCGUUUAGCGUCUCCAGUGAAGGAAAACACUAAGAAAAUAUUUCUUUAACCACCACCACCGCCACCAUGGACCUUCUGGAUGGGGAGACAGUGUACAACUCCCAUGACGAGUCCCAUGUCGUCAUGUCGGAGAAGGUUCAGUCCCUCGCCGGCAGCAUUUAUCAAGAAUUCGAGCGGAUGAUUGGCCGGUACGAUGAGGAUGUCGUUAAGGACCUCAUGCCGUUGGUAGUCAACAUCCUGGAGUGUCUGGAUCUUGCCUACACCGAGAACCAGGAGCAUGAGGUGGAGGUGGAGCUGCUGCGAGAGGAUAACGAACAGCUGGUGACACAGUACGAGCGCGAGAAACAGCUGCGUAAGGCCUCCGAGCAGAAACUGCUGGAACUUGAGGAUGGCAUGGAGGAAGAGAAGAAAAAGUGCCAGUCAAGGGUAGAGACGCUGGAAUCUAUAGUGAGGAUGCUGGAACUCAAGAAUCGGAACGCGUCAGACCACGCCAGUAGAAUGGAGGACAAGUCGGAGGAGAUCAAGAAGGAGUAUGCCAAACUACAUGAUCGUUACACAGAGCUGUUUAAGACUCACAUGGAUUACAUGGAAAGGACAAAGAUUCUAAUGGGAACAGACAGACUGGACCAGCUCGGCACAGCGCGCGGAAGGAUACCUGGGUUCAGCCUGGGCAAUCUUAACAGGUCAUCAGGGCCCGUGUCGUUUGGGUUCAGUUCAUUUGAGGCCAACAAGUCAAUGACCUCACCUGUGGACAUGACCGGGUCGGCUAAUGGGUCGUUACAGGUCACAUCAAUUAAGAAUGAGCUUCAGGAGGCGCAGGUCGGGCCAGACACUCCAGUGGUUCAUUCAGACAAAGGUCAGCUAACAGAUGCAAUUGAGCAAGCAGAUCGCGAGACAGCCACAAAAGGUGGAUGGGUGGACGGCUUCAGCCCAGAGAGUGAGGCGAUGGUCUCUUCCCCUGAGAUGGAGGACCUGGAGGACAUAUCUCUGGACACAAGCAUAGGACCGCACCACCAGCCCCCCGGGAGGAUGGCCAGACCCACCACCACGCAGCACAAGGAGGAACGUACAGGCAACACACUGUACCAAGAGAUCCAUUUCCAAGAACCAGACGCCCUUGCAGAGAUGGAUGAAGGCGCCGACAUCACAGGUGGCUGGGUUCACCCUGGGGAAUACGCAUCUUCUGUUACAGAUAAUUUCUUUGGGAUGGGGAAGGAAGUGGAAAACCUUAUACUGGAGAAUAAUGAACUGCUGGCAACCAAGAACGCUCUUAAUAUCGUAAAGGAUGACCUCAUUGCAAAAGUAGAUGAAUUGACAAGCGAACAAGAGAUUCUGCGGGAGGAGAUCAAGUCGCUGAAUGCCGUGAAGUCUCGCCUCCGUCUCCGCAUCACAGAGCUUGAGGACGAGGUGAAGAAGGUGAAGGAGGAGGCGGAGAAGAUCGCAAAGGCUGGGAAGUCUGAUGAUGAGGAGGAAGUCCCAAUGGCCCAGAGGAAGCGGUUCACCAGGGUGGAGAUGGCGCGGGUGUUGAUGGAGAGGAACCAAUACAAGGAGAGGUUCAUGGAGCUGCAGGAGGCGGUUCGUUGGACUGAAAUGAUCAGGGCAACCCGCACUGACCCGGCCACUGACAAGAAGAACAAACAGACCAUUUGGAAGUUCUUCAGCAACCUCUUCAGCACCUCCGAGAAGCCGCAGAGGAAGCCCCUGCCGUAUGGGAACGUGAGAUACAGCGCCCCCUCCAACCAGGUGACCCCCGCCCUUGACACAAUGAGGAGGAAGAACCUUGCUGAUCACCGGCGAAAGGGGCUGGAAAUAUUUGAUGCUGGAUUCUCCUCCGAGAAACUGCAACAGAGGCGGGCAACCGAGAGACGCGAACAGUACCGUCAAGUCAGGGCCCACGUCAAGAAGGACGACGGAAGAUUGCAGGCUUACGGGUGGAGUCUACCGGCUAAGACUGGGCAGAGGGCUAUAGAGGGCCCCCCCGCAGCCGCCCCAUCAGCCGCUGCCGCUGCCGCAUCAGCCGUUCCGCCGCAGAGGGCCGGAACGUCAGCCUCGUCACAUAUCCCUGUUCCGGUUCCUGUCUACUGUCGGCCCCUGAUGGAGAAGGAGCCAGGGAUGAAGAUCUGGUGUGCGGCUGGAGUUAACCUGACAGGCGGACGAACCAAAGAUGGCGGUAGCAUUGUGGGAGCCAGUGUUUUCUAUUCAGGCGACACUGAAAUUACAACUGUGAAGCCCAGCGAUGAUGUGGAGAGUCUGGACCAGGAGUUGAAGGAGGGAGAAAGAGAGAGACGAGAGGGAGAAUUACUGGAACAAACGCUCUCUUCCCUCGUCUGGAUCUGCACCUCAACACACUCUAUCAGCAAGGUGACGGUCAUUGACGCAAACAACCCAGCUGACAUUCUGGAGUCAUUUCACGUGUGCUCCUCCCACCUCCUGUGCAUCGCCAGCGUGCCAGGAGCUAAAGAGAGUGACUAUAGUGUAGAUGAGGACAUGAAUAGAUUAGUGGAGGAGGUGGCAAACAAUAACACUGAGGACGCCACCACCACCACCACCGAUACCACCACCACCACCGCCGCUGCCAAGGAGGAGGGGGACAGUGCAAGUGGAGGAAAGGCAGAGGAAAAUCCUUCUAUGGGGACUCUAUCCUUUAUCAGCUGUGCCGCAGGAGGGAGUAAUAUUCUCACCCAGUCGCCGACCGCGCCCGAGACCCCUGAUAAGGAAAUUGAAGAAAUUAAGCCUGUUCUGCGCAAGGAAACCAUCCCAUGUACAGACCCAGAGCAGGACGCAGACCAUGCCAGCGUCGUGGGGGAGGAGGAGGGGUCAGUGCCACCCCGACGCCUCCUACGAGAGCCCCAGGGGGUGGUAAAAGAUGGCGUGGAAGAAGCACAACCCACUGACGACUCGGACAACGUGGUGACGGAGGAGGUGGAGAAGAUGUCGUCCGUGCUGUCUACGAUGUGGUUGGGCUCCCAGAGUGGAUCAAUUUAUGUCCACUCAGCCGUCAGACACUGGAAGAGAUGUCUCCACUCAAUUAAGCUGAGAGAUUCUGUGCUGUCCAUCGUGCACAUCAAGGGGCGGGUGUUGGCGGCCCUGGCUGACGGCACGGUUGCAAUCUUUCACCGCAGAGGAGACGGACAGUGGGACCUCAACAAUUAUCACCUUCUGGAUCUCGGUCGGCCGCACCACUCCAUCCGGUGCAUGCAGGCGGUGCACGGCCGAGUCUGGUGUGGCUACCGGAACAAGAUUCACGUCGUGGAUCCACGCCACAUGACUAUUGAGAAAUCAUUUGACGCCCACCCACGCAAGGAGUCACAGGUGCGGCAGAUGGCUUGGCUGGGUGACGGGGUGUGGGUGAGCAUUCGCCUGGACUCCACCCUCCGCCUGUACCACGCACACACCCACCAGCACCUUCAGGAUGUGGAUAUUGAGCCCUACGUGUCGAAAAUGCUGGGCACAGGCAAGCUUGGGUUCUCCUUCGUACGGAUAACAGCACUGCUCAUCUCCUCUCAUCGCCUUUGGAUAGGAACUGGCAAUGGGGUCAUCAUUUCUGUGCCCUUGUCUGAGAGCGCGAACCCCAGGCCAGGGCAGAGUGACAGCACCACUACCACCGCCGCCAGCACCACCAGCACCACCGCCGCCACCCCCACACCCCCCAGCAGCAGCAGCAGCAAGCCAGGAGGUGUGAUAAGGGUUUACACAGACAGCCGAGAUCAGGUGACGCCAGGGUCAUUUGCACCUUAUUGUUCUAUGGCUCAAGCACAGCUGUCUUUCCAUGGACACAGAGAUGCGGUGAAGUUCUUUGUGGCUGUCCCAGGCUUAGGUGGGUAUCACACCCUUACAGCUGCCCACACGGCCCUGGCCAUGCGCGCGGUGUCCGAGAAGGAAGCACAGGAGGAGGGGGACGCGCCAGCCGAGCAGCCAAGCCCUAAGAGCAUGCUGGUUAUAUCUGGAGGAGAAGGUUACAUUGACUUCAGAAUUGCGGAUGAACGAGAGGAGGACAGAGACACAGCCAGCCACCUCCUUAUUUGGCAUAUCCCCUCGGAAGAUAAUUUCACUCAUCUCAACUCCCUCCUCCCUCCCACCACCACCACCACCACCCCCGCCCCCUCCCCCCUCCCCCGCCCCCCGCCGCCGCCGCCCCCGCCACCUCCGUCCGGCCGCACGUAGCUCAGCGGAGGGGCCACGGGCGGAAGGUUCGGCCGGGAGGUCCCCCUCUCGCAGGAAGACUUUGCAAGGGGGAGGGAGAAGAGGAUCCCAGUAUCUCCGCAAGUUCCCCUGAGUCGCUGAGCCGAGGAGAUCGAUCCCAUCUUAUUGUCUGGUUCUGUGGCUAGAGGGGGUGUCUAAUCUCUCUCUCUCUCUCUCUCUCUCUCUC